UAGGCGUAAAUGAUGCGAGUUAAGUGUGGGGGCAUCUACGAGAUGGCCCUGUGCUGUAGGGUAGCCGUUAAACUCGCUGCCUGGGGAGUACGGUCGCAAGGCUGAAACUUAAGGGAAUUGGCGGGGGAGCACCACAAGAGGUGGAGGCUGCGGUUCAAUUGGACUCAACGCCGGAAAACUCAUCGGGAGCGACAGCAGUAUGAUUGCCAGGUUGAUGACCUUGCUUGACAAGCUGAGAGGUGGUGCAUGGCGUCAGUGACU
rnacentral:rRNA from 1 species